CCUACGGGAGGCAGCAUUGAGGAAUAUUGGACAAUGGAUGGAAAUCUGAUCCAGCCAUGCCGCGUGCAGGAAGGCGGCCCUAUGGGUUAUAAACUGCUUUUGUACGGGAGCAAUAAGGUCUACGAGUAGAUUGAUGAGAGUACUGUACGAAUAAGCAUCGGCUAACUCCGUGCCAGCAGCCGCGGUAAUACGGAGGAUGCGAGCGUUAUCCGGAUUUAUUGGGUUUAAAGGGUGCGUAGGCUGUUAUGUAAGUCAGUGGUAAAAGGUACAGGCUUAACUGGUAUAUGCCAUUGAAACUGUAUAGCUAGGAUAUGGAUGAAGUGUGCGGAAUGUGUGGUGUAGCGGUGAAAUGCAUAGAUAUCACACAGAACACCGAUAGCGAAGGCAGCACAGUAAGGCAAUAUUGACGCUGAGGCAAGAAAGUGUGGGGAUCAAACAGGAUUAGAUACCCUGGUAGUCCACACUGUAAACGAUGAUAACUAGCUGUGUCGAUAUAAUGAC
rnacentral:rRNA from 1 species